AUGGAGACAGAGGGCGCCGGUGAGGAAGGCGCGCAUGGCAGCACUGACGACGCCGCCACCAACGAAGAAGGGGCCGGUGCUGAUGAGACCGCCGGCGAGGAGGCCGCCAAGGCUGCCGCCGCAGAAGCCGGCGAGGGGUCGGGCGAUCGCACUGACGACCCUGAGGCCGCAGGAGCGCCAGACGCUGCGCCGACCGCCGAUCCCUCUGCCGCUGCUGCGGAGCCGGGCUCCGAGGAGCCCCAGCCCGGCGCCUACUUGAAGGUCGGCGACGACAUCUUCAUCAAGCUACCCUGGGCGUCGAGCUCCAGGGCGCCGGUCGAGGGGGAAACUUUCGAUGAGGAGGUGCUCGCCUCCGCUGGACUGUCGUUGGUUGACGCGCCCAGCAGCAGCAGUGGCGAGCCUGAGGAGGAGGAGCUGCUGUGGAAGCUGCUGUCACUCUACCGCGUACGGCAAGCCAAGCUGGCUUCUCGGGAAGCGCUUGUCGCGAAGGCGGGAGUUGAUAUGGAGAAGCGCGCGGAGGAGUUUCGGGGCCACAAUCAAGAAGCUCUCCGGUCCCUGGCACAAGAGCGGGAGCGACUCGCCGAGCAGCGCACGGCCUUCCUUCUCGAGAAGGCCGAAGCUGAGGAGGAACAAAGGCUGGCUGCCGAGAAGCAGUCCGCGCGAGAAGGCGAAUUGGUGCAGCGGAAGGCCAACCUCGACAGCUACGAGGAGGAGCUCGCCGAGCGCGAGCAAGCACUUGGCGGGGCGCUCAAGGAAGUAAAGGACGCUGCCGCAAUCGCAGAGGCCACCAAGAAAGAGCUGGAGGAGAAGGUGGCGCAGCUGGAGGCCAACAUCGGGAAGAGCGGCGAGGAGCUUGCCGCGCUCAAGCGUGAGCGUGAGAAGGAUGCUGCCGCCCAUGGUGAGCUGCAAGGUCUUCUCGCUGAGAGGGGCAAGGAGCUCAGCGCCGCCAAGGAUUCCAAUGCAGACCUGAAGUUGAAGCUGGCCACGCUGACGUAG
rnacentral:rRNA from 1 species